rnacentral:rRNA from 1 species
GGGUUGUGAGGUUAAGCGACUAAGCGUACACGGUGGAUGCCCUGGCAGUCAGAGGCGAUGAAGGACGUGCUAAUCUGCGAUAAGCGCCGGUAAGGUGAUAUGAACCGUUAUAACCGGCGAUUUCCGAAUGGGGAAACCCAGUGUGACUCGUCACACUAUCAUUAACUGAAUCCAUAGGUUAAUGAGGCGAACCGGGGGAACUGAAACAUCUAAGUACCCCGAGGAAAAGAAAUCAACCGAGAUUCCCCCAGUAGCGGCGAGCGAACGGGGAGGAGCCCAGAGCCUGAAUCAGCAUGUGUGUUAGUGGAAGCGUCUGGAAAGGCGCGCGAUACAGGGUGACAGCCCCGUACACAAAAGCGCAUGUGCUGUGAGCUCGAUGAGUAGGGCGGGACACGUGGUAUCCUGUCUGAAUAUGGGGGGACCAUCCUCCAAGGCUAAAUACUCCUGACUGACCGAUAGUGAACCAGUACCGUGAGGGAAAGGCGAAAAGAACCCCGGCGAGGGGAGUGAAAAAGAACCUGAAACCGUGUACGUACAAGCAGUGGGAGCACCCUUUGGGGUGUGACUGCGUACCUUUUGUAUAAUGGGUCAGCGACUUAUAUUCUG